CUAAAAUAUGGGAAGUAAUUCCUGCCCAGUGACUCAAUUCAACGGCCGCGGUAUCCUAACCGUGCAAAGGUAGCAUAAUCACUUGCCCAUUAAUUGUGGGCUAGAAUGAAAGGACUAACGAAAUAAAGACUGUCUCUAUAAGCCGCCUAAAAAUUAAUCUCUAACUGAAGAGUGUUAGAUAUCGUCGAAGGACAAGAAGACCCUAUAGAGCUUUAUUUUAACAAAAACUAAAAAUUUUUCAAUAAAAUUCGGUUGGGGCGACCAGGGAAAAUAAAUCAUCCCCCAUAAGCAGAUAAAUAUAUCUAAGUUCUGACCCUUAAAAUAAGAUCAACAAAUCAAGCUACCUUAGGGAUAACAGGCUAAUCCCACUAAAGAGUCCUUAUUAAUAGUGGGGAUUGGCACCUCGAUGUUGGCUUAGGGAAUCUAUGUGGCGCAAAAGUCGCGUAAAGAUGGUUUGUUCAACCAAUAACACC
rnacentral:rRNA from 1 species